rnacentral:rRNA from 1 species
CCGAAACGAAGUGAUCUAUCCAUGAGCAAGUUGAAGCUAGUGUAAGAACUAGUGGAGGACUGAACCCAUAGGCGUUGAAAAGCCCCGGGAUGACUUGUGGAUAGGGGUGAAAGGCCAAUCAAACUUCGUGAUAGCUGGUUCUCUCCGAAAUAUAUUUAGGUAUAGCGUUGUGUCGUAAUAUAAGGGGGUAGAGCACUGAAUGGGCUAGGGCAUACACCAAUGUACCAAACCCUAUCAAACUCCGAAUACCUUAUAUGUAAUCACAGCAGUCAGGCGGCGAGUGAUAAAAUCCGUCGUCAAGAGGGAAACAACCCAGACUACCAGCUAAGGUCCCUAAAUCUUACUUAAGUGGAAAACGAUGUGAAGUUACUUAAACAACCAGGAGGUUGGCUUAGAAGCAGCCAUCCUUUAAAGAAAGCGUAAUAGCUCACUGGUCUAGUGAUUUUGCGCGGAAAAUAUAACGGGGCUAAAGUAAGUACCGAAGCUGUAGACUUAGUUUACUAAGUGGUAGGAGAGCGUUCUAUUUGCGUCGAAGGUAUACCGGUAAGGAGUGCUGGAGCGAAUAGAAGUGAGCAUGCAGGCAUGAGUAGCGAUAAUUAAUGUGAGAAUCAUUAACGCCGUAAACCCAAGGUUUCCUACGCGAUGCUCGUCAUCGUAGGGUUAGUCGGGUCCUAAGUCGAGUCCGAAAGGGGUAGACGAUGGCAAAUUGGUUAAUAUUCCAAUACCAACAUUAGUGUGCGAUGGAAGGACGCUUAGGGCUAAGGGGGCUAGCGGAUGGAAGUGCUAGUCUAAGGUCGUAGGAGGUUAUACAGGAAAAUCCGUAUAACAAUACUCCGAGAACUGAAAGGCUUUUUGAAGUCUUCGGAUGGAUAGAAGAACCCCUGAUGCCGUCGAGCCAAGAAAAGUUUCUAAGUUUAGCUAAUGUUGCCCGUACCGUAAACCGACACAGGUGGGUGGGAUGAGUAUUCUAAGGCGCGUGGAAGAACUCUCUUUAAGGAACUCUGCAAAAUAGCACCGUAUCUUCGGUAUAAGGUGUGGUUAGCUUUGUAUUAGGAUUUACUCCGAAAGCGAAGAAACUUACAACAAAGAGUCCCUCCCGACUGUUUACCAAAAACACAGCACUCUGCUAACUCGUAAGAGGAUGUAUAGGGUGUGACGCCUGCCCGGUGCUCGAAGGUUAAUUGAUGGGGUUAGCAUUAGCGAAGCUCUUGAUCGAAGCCCGAGUAAACGGCGGCCGUAACUAUAACGGUCCUAAGGUAGCGAAAUUCCUUGUCGGUUAAAUACCGACCUGCAUGAAUGGCGUAACGAGAUGGGAGCUGUCUCAAAGAGGGAUCCAGUGAAAUUGUAGUGGAGGUGAAAAUUCCUCCUACCCGCGGCAAGACGGAAAGACCCCGUGGACCUUUACUACAGCUUGACACUGCUACUUGGAUAAGAAUGUGCAGGAUAGGUGGGAGGCUUUGAGUAUAUGACGCCAGUUGUAUAUGAGCCAUUGUUGAGAUACCACUCUUUCUUAUUUGGGUAGCUAACCAGCUUGAGUUAUCCUCAAGUGGGACAAUGUCUGGUGGGUAGUUUGACUGGGGCGGUCGCCUCCCAAAUAAUAACGGAGGCUUACAAAGGUUGGCUCAGAACGGUUGGAAAUCGUUCGUAGAGUAUAAAGGUAUAAGCCAGCUUAACUGCAAGACAUACAAGUCAAGCAGAGACGAAAGUCGGUCUUAGUGAUCCGGUGGUUCUGUGUGGAAGGGCCAUCGCUCAAAGGAUAAAAGGUACCCCGGGGAUAACAGGCUGAUCUCCCCCAAGAGCUCACAUCGACGGGGAGGUUUGGCACCUCGAUGUCGGCUCAUCGCAUCCUGGGGCUGGAGCAGGUCCCAAGGGUAUGGCUGUUCGCCAUUUAAAGCGGUACGCGAGCUGGGUUCAGAACGUCGUGAGACAGUUCGGUCCCUAUCUGCCGUGGGCGUAAGAAGAUUGAAGAGAUUUGACCCUAGUACGAGAGGACCGGGUUGAACAAACCACUGGUGUAGCUGUUGUUCUGCCAAGAGCAUCGCAGCGUAGCUAAGUUUGGAAAGGAUAAACGCUGAAAGCAUCUAAGCGUGAAGCCAACUCUAAGAUGAAUCUUCUCUAAGCUCUCUAGAAGACUACUAGUUUGAUAGGCUGGGUGUGUAAUGGAUGAAAGUCCUUUAGCUGACCAGUACUAAUAGAGCGUUUGGCUUAUCUUUAAUAAAGCAU